AGGAUUAACGCUGGCGGCGUGCCUAACACAUGCAAGUCGAACGAGGUAGCAAUACCUAGUGGCAGACGGGUGAGUAGCGCGUGGUCAACCUACCGUUGAGUGGGGGAUAACUAGCCGAAAGGUUAGCUAAUACCGCAUACGUCUCCGAGGGGCAUCCCUUGGUGAUAAAAGGAGCAAUCCGCUCGAUGACGGGACCGCGUCCCAUUAGCUAGUUGGUGGGGUAACGGCCUACCAAGGCAUCGAUGGGUAGCUGGUUUGAGAGAGCGACCAGCCACACUGGGACUGAGAUACGGCCCAGACUCCUACGGGAGGCAGCAGUGAGGAAUUUUCCGCAAUGGGCGAAAGCCUGACGGAGCGACGCCGCGUGUGGGAAGAAGGCCUUCGGGUCGUAAACCACUGUCGAAGGGGAAGAUAAUGACGGUACCCUUGGAGGAAGCCCCGGCUAACUACGUCGCCAGCAGCCGC
rnacentral:rRNA from 1 species